rnacentral:rRNA from 1 species
AUUGAACGCUGGCGGCAUGCUUUACACAUGCAAGUCGAACGGCAGCGCGGGGCAACCUGGCGGCGAGUGGCGCACGGGUGAGUAAUAUAUCGGAACGUACCCAGAAGUGGGGGAUAACGUAGCGAAAGUUACGCUAAUACCGCAUACGAUCUACGGAUGAAAGUAGGGGACCGCAAGGCCUUAUGCUUUUGGAGCGGCCGAUAUCUGAUUAGCUAGUUGGUGAGGUAAAGGCUCACCAAGGCGACGAUCAGUAGCUGGUCUGAGAGGACGACCAGCCACACUGGAACUGAGACACGGUCCAGACUCCUACGGGAGGCAGCAGUGGGGAAUUUUGGACAAUGGGCGCAAGCCUGAUCCAGCAAUGCCGCGUGAGUGAAGAAGGCCUUCGGGUUGUAAAGCUCUUUUGUCAGGGAAGAAACGGUAGAGGCUAAUAUCCUGUGCUAAUGACGGUACCUGAAGAAUAAGCACCGGCUAACUACGUG